rnacentral:rRNA from 1 species
UACGUAGGUGGCAAGCGUUGUCCGGAAUUAUUGGGCGUAAAGAGCUCGUAGGCGGUUUGUCGCGUCUGCUGUGAAAACUCGGGGCUUAACUCCGGGCCUGCAGUGGGUACGGGCAGACUAGAGUGCGGUAGGGGAGACUGGAAUUCCUGGUGUAGCGGUGAAAUGCGCAGAGUAUCAGGAGGAACACCGGUGGCGAAGGCGGGUCUCUGGGCCGUAACUGACGCUGAGGAGCGAAAGCGUGGGGAGCGAACAGG